UCAGAUUCUUCAGGGUAUUUGACAUGCCCAGGUCUGUGCUGAGGUCUGACAUACGGGAACUUGAAGAUUUGGUACCUGCUCUAAUUCCCGUUUUGCUAACACGCAGGAAACAUUUGCCUCAGGGACGAGAGCAGUCUCAGGGCAUCUCAGGGCAGCUGGACCUCAGUGAGGUCAUGGUGCUGACUGAGAUAAGACUCAGGUCGUCAGGGUUGGGAGGCAUUUGGGUAGGGAGCGGCAGUGUGGGCAAAGGCUUGGUGUGGGGUGCAUUGAGGAGAGCCGCUGGCCGCAGCAGAGUGCAGAUAGAACGAGGAAGAAUAAGCAAAGGUUGCCCUAGGUACAACGGGGCGGCUUGAAGAACCCUCAGAGUCCACAGAAAAGUUGGACUUGUUAGGACUCAACACGGUGGGCAACAGGGAGCCGUGGAAGGCUCUUGGGCAGAGAAAUGACAACUGGACCCUCAGAAAGAAAAACCUAUUCCUAUGGAGCAUUGCAGUCGGCCCUCUGAGCACGCCAGGCAGGAGUGUGCAGGGAGCUGGUGCAAAUGCCUCCUGUAUGCGGGCGAGCUUCUGUGUUGUGACUCGGGCCACACGCGUGCUUCAGUGUGCCAAGUGGCUGCAUGCCCCGGAUCCAUGCUGCACGUGCCAGCCAGUGCGGGUGCGGGGCAGUGGGAGGUGGGAGAGGUGUAUGCGUGUUGUUUGUGGGCAUGUGUGUCAGCGUGUGCAUGCGGGGCUGUGGGGCCUCACAGCAUUGUGUGCACGCCCGUGCGUGUGUGUGAGCGUGUCCGCCACCCCCAGGCCCGCCCUGUCCGUGCGUGUGAACUGCCAUGUUGAUUUCGUGCUGUCUUUCAGAAUCACUAUCAGUGACCCCUGAGGAGCGUCAGCCACGCUGCUCUCUCACCUCCCUUCUCAGCGAGCCUCGGGACUCAGUGCCACUGCCCGGGAUCCCCGUGGCUGAGCCUGGGGGGCUCUCGGGACAGGCUCCGCACCCGAGCUGGCAGACGUGGGUGUUCUCCAGCGCGGCCAGAGGGCAGAGAGCUCGUGGCUUAGGGUGUAGGGGCAGGGAGCUUGGGCUCAGGCAGCCUUGGAACUUCACCCUGGGGUGCCAUACUCGCUCCCCAGUCUGAGCCGUGCUGCUGGGGCAGGACGGCCAGCUCGCAGCCGUGGAGCAAUAGGACCCGAAUCCACCAGAGGGCAGAGUCCCACCUCUAUUGUGCAGUGAUCUGGGGAGAAGGCUCUGGUUGGUUGAUGAUUUCUGAAAGCCUCGGGGUCCUAUCCACACCAUCAGCCCAGAACACACCUCACAGGCGAGGCAGGGUCCCGCAGCCCCUUCCCCUGCCUCCUUGGUGUUGUCACGCCUGGGAGUGCACGACUGAAGGCAGCGUUCUCAGCCCCAGGUGCAGCACCCAGCCAGCCCCAGGGCUCACAGACCUGGGCCUGUUGCUCCUAGAGGCGGCCCACACUUUCCAGCCAGGGGGACGGCAGUGUCUGCUGACCUGGGCAGGUCAGCCUCUCUGAGUUCCAUCCCGGCUGGGCCGCGGAACUCGCCCAGCGAACCCGCCCGCCACUCUGUCCCUGCCGCUGACUCUCAUUCUUCUGCUUUUCCCCAGCAGGAAGGGCCCAGCCUCACCUACGCGACCUGCGGUCCCCCGACCACCUGAGGCUCCCCUCUUAGACUUAUAAGCCUGUGGCCACUGGCAUCCAGCUGCCUGUCCUCCACUCCCCAGGGUCCCUUCAGAGGACUCCUGAGCUUUCUGCCCACCCGGAGAGGCCUCCAGGGCUCCCUCCAGCCAUCCUUUUAGCUUUGCCCUCCUGGUUGAAACAGUGUUCUUUCUCCUGUCUUUUCCAUCAGGCCUGGUGGCUGUUGCCUGGGGCUCAGAGCCCCAUCCUCCCUGAGGCUAGUGGUGGCCUGGGCCAGUGAGUUGAGGAUAGGGAACCACAGGAGGAGGAAGCCAGAGGGGGCUGAGCAUGUGUCUGGAGCUGUGGGUGCACUGCCUGGUGGUGUGUGAGAGACCAGCGUGCGUGGCGGGGGAGGGCCACCCCAGCCUCCAGCCCAGACCCCACAGAGCUCUGGCCCCGCCCAUCUCCAGCUCCUCCCUUCCACCUUCCCUUUCUUGCCUCUCCCCUCUCUUCCAGAAUCCUUGCCCACACCUUCGCCUGCAUCUUCUUCCCCUGCCCUCCCCUCACACGCCUGCGGGCUCAGCUGCCCUUGCCUUACCAGCUCUCUCCCUCCUCUCUCCUGUUCUGUUUCCUCUCCAACUGCCAGCCGAUCGGGUCAGGCAAGUCCAUCCCGUCCUGAGAGCCCCAGGCCCCCCUUCGACCUCUAACCAGAUCCCUCUAUUCCUCGGAGACUUCUCUUUCCAAGCCUUCCUGGACGGCUGUUCUGUGACUUGACAGUGGCUCCCUGGCCCCAAAGCCUCCCCCUUCAUCUGUGACUUAGUCUGUUGUAGUGGUGAGCUGACACACCCAGCGUGACGUUGGUGAAACUUGUGCCCCUCUGUGGUAUUUCUCCUGCUCCGUUCUAUAAAUAACUAUAAAUAACCAUAUAUUAUACAUAUAUAUAUAUACACGCACACAGAUAUGGCUGCCACAGUCUCACCUCUAGUGCUGGGAAUUACCGUGCUGUCCUUGAGGAGUCUUGUGACCCAACUAUAAGGGAACACAGUCACCCUGAAAUCCUCCUCCAAAGCGUGCCACCUCCGAUGAGCUUCCCUGUCAUGCCCACCCAGCCUGUGACAGCCAGCCCCCUCUGCUGCCAUCCCACCCCUCCCUCCUCCUGCGCAGGGGUGCUGUAUUGGCAGCUGCGUGGUUCUCUGACUGCUACCAGUCUUACUGUCUCUUGGCUGAGAAUAAAUAAAACCCAUUUCUGGACAAUGGGGAAAAGUG